CAAGUGUAGGGAAGGAAACUGGACGACCCUUCGGGGAGCUUGUACAGGUGCUGCAUGGCUGUCGUCAGCUCGUGUCGUGAGAUGUUCGGUUAAGUCCGCUAACGAGCGCAACCCUCGCUGUGUGUUACAAGUGUCACACGGAACUGCCGGUCAUAAACCGGAGGAAGGUGGGGAUGACGUCAAGUCAGCAUGGCCUUUAUAUCCUGGGCUACACACACGCUACAAUGGGAAGGGACAAUAGGUUGCGAAGCCGCGAGGCGGAGCCAAUCCAGCAAAACUUCCCUCAGUUCAGAUUGCAGGCUGCAACCCGCCUGCAUGAAGUUGGAGUUGCUAGUAAACGCAGGUCAGCCAUACUGCGUUGAAUACGUUCCCGGGCUU
rnacentral:rRNA from 1 species